rnacentral:rRNA from 1 species
GCUUACGGCCACACCGGCCUGAGUAAGUCCUGAUCUCGUCCGAUCUCGGAAGCUAAGCAGGGUCGGGCCUGGUUAGUACUUGGAUGGGAGACCGCCUGGGAAUACAGGUGCUGUAAGCU